rnacentral:rRNA from 1 species
CCUACGGGGGGCUGCAGCUAAGAAUCUUCCGCAAUGGACGAAAGUCUGACGGAGCGACGCCGUGUGAAUGAAGAAGGCCGAAAGGUUGUAAAAUUCUUUUGCAGAUGAAGAAUAAGAAGAAGAGGGAAUGCUUCUUUGAUGACGGUAGUCAUGCGAAUAAGCCCCGGCUAAUUACGUGCCAGCAGCCGCGGUAACACGUAAGGGGCGAGCGUUGUUCGGAAUUAUUGGGCGUAAAGGGUAUGUAGGCGGUUAGGUAAGCCUGGUGUGAAAUCUACGAGCUCAACUCGUAAACUGCAUUGGGUACUGCUUGACUUGAAUCACGGAGGGGAAACCGGAAUUCCAAGUGUAGGGGUGGAAUCUGUAGAUAUUUGGAAGAACACCGGUGGCGAAGGCGGGUUUCUGGCCGAUGAUUGACGCUGAUAUACGAAGGUGCGGGGAGCAAACAGGAUUAGAUACCCUGGUAGUC